rnacentral:misc_RNA from 1 species
UACAGAGGGUGCAAACGUUGCUCGGAAUUACUGGGCGUAAAGCGCGCGUAGGCGGUUUGGAAAGUCGGCCGUGAAAGCCCUCGGCUCAACCGAGGAAGUGCAGCCGAAACUGUCAAACUAGAGUAUCGAAGAGGAUGGCGGAAUGCGCGGUGUAGAGGUGAAAUUCGUAGAUAUCGCGUAGAACACCAGUGGCGAAGGCGGCCAUCUGGGAGAAUACUGACGCUGAGGCGCGAAAGCGUGGGGAGCAAACAGG